AACAAAAUGUGACAAAAGAAUGGGUUGAGGAAAGUCAGUAUAAAAGUUGGCGAUCUCUGGAAUACACACACAUCUCUGGUCACACCAGGUACGAAGGAGACGAACAAAAUGCGUCGUUUAUCGAUAUUUUUAUGUGUCCUCGUGCUGAGUACGGCAGUCCUUUGCGAAGACUCCCACGACAACGCAAAGGGCUCUACGGAACAUCCUAAAUCAUUAGGCUCCGUCACGAAUUCCACCAAAAUGCCAGAAGUACCCAAAGCACCCGACGGCAAAACUUUAACCAACUUAAAUGGCAAUAAUUAGCAUUUAUCAUAGAACCUACUUUACGUAUUUAAAAAAAAAAAGUAAAGUUAGAACGUACUUUAGUAUUUACUGAGUAAAUACUUUAAAAUUAAAAUAGAAAGUUUUCAGAUUGUGAUGUGAUUUUAAGCUUAGUAAUUUUAAUUCCUGGGACAUUCGUCGAAGGCUUUCCGGCCAGUAUUAUGUAAUACGUGACAAUCUGUAAAACUUAAAAUCCUAAAAUAAAUAUUUAAAAAAAUUAAUACGUGAAUAGGCACUAUGAUGACGAAAAAUAAUGACGCAAGGCUUGGAUUACGUGACCAAUUGAUUGUUUGUACCUCUAACUCCUAUAUAUUAUCUUAUUGUAUAUGAAGUAUAUUAAAAUCAGUUGCAUCUG